GGAAUGUGGCAUAGUCAAAUCUGGCUCCUUCCACUACUGAGUUGGUGCAAGAAACACUUGGCAGCUAUUAAAGUGCUAUUCUUUGCAGUUAUUUGGUAUAAUUUGCCACGGAAGUAAAUUCCAGGAGCCGGGAAGAUUUCCAGAGGAUUCCAGAACUUGCCAUCAACCCACUGGGGGACCGGAUCAUCAAUGCCUUCUUUCCAGAGGGAGAGGACCAGGUAAACUUCCGUGGAUUCAUGCGAACUUUGGCUCAUUUCCGCCCCAUUGAGGAUAAUGAAAAGAGCAAAGAUGUGAAUGGACCUGAACCACUCAACAGCCGAAGCAACAAACUGCACUUUGCUUUUCGACUAUAUGAUUUGGAUAAAGAUGAAAAGAUCUCCCGUGAUGAGCUGUUACAGUAGAGACGGGGUUUCAUCAUAUUGGCCAGGCUGGUCUUGAACUCCUAACCUCAAGUGAUCCACCCACCUCGGCCUCCCAAAGUGCUGGGAGUACAAGCAUGACCCAUCAUGCCCGGCCCCAACUGUCCAUUUUAAAUAUGUACAGCUUAUUGUAUAUUAUUUAUACUUCAAUAAAGAUAGUUACUUUUCUCGCCAA
rnacentral:sRNA from 1 species